ensembl:lncRNA
GUGCAACCACGAGCUGCUGAGCCUUGAUCAAACUCAACAGAUGCGGCUCUGUGCUCUUCCCACUGUGCAAAUGACACCUCUAGAAACGUUUUCAAAGUUUCUGUACCUCCAGCUCUGAGAUUUCAGAGUGAUGCUCAUGGAAGCGAAUACUCAUGAGAGCAGAUGCUGCAAAAUUUAUCACUGGAAAUGCACAGAGCCAUCGUGGCCCUCGGAUUGAGCUAAGCCCAUAGAAAAGCUGCAAGUCUGGAGAAAUGAUUGCAGGGUGAUGCCUGGAAGCAUUCCCUCCCCAAAGGUUUUAGGAAGGGGGAAGCUGGAAAGCAGCUCCUCGGCUAGGAAGCUGUUAGUGGAGGUGCUGAGAUCUGAAGGGGAUGGAAAAUGUCCUUCUACAGGAAGAUGAAGAGAGACAGUUGAAACACAUGGAACUCAGUUGCUUGGAUAAGAACUAUCUCCAGAUUAAGGGCUGGAAAGGAAAAGGAAAAUCUGGAUCGUGCCAGGAACAUCAUGACUUCACUCUGUGCCACUGAAGACCCGAAUUCCUCAGCGUGUGACAGUCCAGGCAACCCUCAUCAUUAACAACAAAGUCAAGUCCCAGGAGUGCAGGGUUACUCUCAUAAAUUGCAUUGCUGAGCAAGAGGUUGGCAGAUGCAGAGUUUUGGCUCAGGCUGCCUUGCAGGCUUUCCAUGGUGCUGGGUGAAGGAGGGAGAGGGGACUGCUCAACAGAUUAAAUCACUCCAAAACAAAACAAAAUAAAAAAAUAAUUAAAUUUUAAAAGGGACCUCAGUGAAUUUAGCUGGUAAACAAAAAUAGAUGUUUUGCUGUGGCUAGAGUCUUAGCAAUGUCCCUAUCAGGUCUGCCCUGAAAAUAAACAGUGGGUGUAUAAUCUUCCUCCCCUUUGAAGUCAGCAGCAAUUUGAUGUUGGCUUUACCUAUGGAUGAUAAACUUGACUGUGUUUGCAGCCAUUCAGGGGAAAGCUUUCCCCCAUCUCACCCAGGAAUCCCUCAUGGAGUCACCAUCCCCAGAGAUGUCCAAGAAAUAUGGAGAUACGGCACUGAAAGGUGUGGUUUAAUGUGUUGAUGGUUGGACCUGGUGAACUUAAAGGUUUUCUCCAUCCUCAAUGACUCCAUGAUUCUGCGGUGUCAGGAAAUUUCUCUGCAAUAUCAGAGCAAAGGAACGAUCCCAAAGCCAUUUCCUUUUGGAAGAUGGUGGAAGAAAAAUAUUGGCCUGAUGUCACACAGUGGAUUUUUGUUCAUUUCUAAGACCAUGAGUAAUGCCUUGCAAGGCCAGACCAACGGCCCAUGAAGCCCAGUGCUGAUCCUAAUGAUGGCAGCAAGACAUCCCAUCCACGGAGAGCAGGAGAUCCCGGCUCCUAUCAAGUGGUUGUGGACAUCAGGGCCAGGUGGUGUCAAUUGCUAUUAGAGAUAGCUUAGGGCCAUCUGUGCCAUGUUUGACAUCUGGGCAUCAGCAAUGGCCCCAGGCAACUCUGAUUAGGCAGAACAGUCAAUCUCUAGUGACUCCCUUGGGAACUCAAACACUGAUGUGUAGACAUGUAUUUUUAUGAUCCUUCUGAGAAGAAUUUAAUUAAAAUUACCACACUUGAAGGCAUGCAAAAAAGAUACCAUGAGAUCCAGGAUUUUCAUUUCAAGAUUUGCAUCUCUCAGUGCAUCUCACUUUCCAUCAUCCUAGGCUGAUCUGUGUUGUCUGGCACUGACUCCCAGAGUACUCACCUCUAUUCUGAUUUCAGUCUUCUCUAGUGACUGGGUUUUGUGCCUUGCUCUUUUCCUUCAUCACAUCCCUUAUUUAUGCUUAAAUCCCAUUCAUGCUCAGCUCAGUAGUGGGCCAGAUCACAAGCUGUUUAAGACACCUCUGAAAAUCUGCAAGAAGCAAGAGUGAGAUUUGUUGAUAUAUCUCUAUCAGGAUCUUCUCUGUAGAUAGAUGAACAGGACACCAUAGGAUCACAGACACUUGCAUGCUUUCUGCAAGCAUAGGGCAACUUUCUCUGCUGAGCAACUCCUUCAAAAACCUUUGUGUCCCAGUAGUGGCUCUCACUCUGAUCCAAGGACACUGCUGCCAAACACAGGGUGAGCUGAGGUGAAGAACGCUUGAUCCAAGCUGACCCUGGCCUGAGUGCUUUGACCUACGCAAAGAAAUAGAACUCAGUCCAGCAGUGGGAAGAAAAAGUCUGGGAGAGGAGCCAGGAGCUCUGCAACAGACUUACCAUAGAGGCUUUGCUGAAAACAGGUUUUCUUCUUGUGCUGUUGUGUGCAACGCCUGCCCUUGGAACCUGAAACCCAGAAUGUUUAAUGAUAUUAUUUUUCCUGCUGGAAGGAGGACAGGCAGUGCCAUUCCUCUUCCAGGCCUUAGAUACUAGGUAGUUUGUAGAACUCAUGGGAUUCCUUUUCCAUGGUGUUGUCUCUGUAGAAACCUGAAAUCAGUGCAUUGGCAGUGGGUCUAUAGAGAUGUUAACGAGAACAGACCAAAAUCUUUUGUCUAUUUGUGUUAUGCAUGCCCAAGAUGUGAUACCUGCCCUAACACAAGCACCAAACUUUUAAACAGGUUAAAUAAGGUGAUAUGAGUGCUAUGAAAAGAUAUUUCUUAAUAGAACCUUUUGGGUUUGAGAGUCAAGUCCUAAUGAUUUCAUUAUGAUUUCAUUAGGACUUCUGCUUCCUUUCCAGUAUUAUUUUGGUAUCUUUGACUUCUGCCAAUAUUUUGCACUUAUAAAAAAAAAAUCAUUAUUGGAUCAUUUUACAGAUAUUAAGAGUCUGUGGCCUCAUGCCAUGUCUCAACCUUUACAUCAGAUACACUUCACUGACUUCAAAGCAAAAUCAGGCACCCUGCUAAUUUCAUAAUGACUCUGAGAUAGCUGGAUGCUGUAGGGCCCUUUCCGCUGUCAGGGCUAAUUAGGAAGGGAUUGGACUGUGUCAGGUCUGUAACUUCACUGAAAAGCCUGAGGUUUCCAAACCUGAGCGAUAUUGCAAUAUUCAGUGUAAUCAUCUAAAUUUAACCACUACUGGAUCUGUUGCAUGGGCAACCUGAGACAGCCUGAAACAUGAAAAUGCUAAAAUACAGAAAUUUCAAGUGAAUCUGAUAUGGUGCUGAUGUAAUUUGGGGGGAAAAAAAAAGAAUAAAAUUACUCAUGCAGCUUCAAAUGCUUCCUGACAUCUUGGCAAUAGAUCUUCAGCAGCCCUCUGCCUUCCUACACUGGGGUGUGGGUAUGACCUCCAAACUUGCUCUUCCAAAAGGGCAGCUGCCUGAAGUUCUGCAAUUCUGAAAGUGGAGGAAAUCUCAAUCUAGGUUUGGAUUUCAUGGCUUAGCCCUGGUAGGCGGUUGCUUGGAUUCUUCAGCAGUCAUGUUGAGACUGAUGUGAGGAGGAGAGACAGAGCUGAGGUAAAAGCAGGUACGAAAGUAUUAAUGUAAGCUCUUGGGAGAAGAAGACAUGAAGUUACUUAUGUUCUUGAUUACAACUUCGUCUGAGGACAGAAUUAAAACACAGCAGAGUGCUUAAAAUAUCUUGCCUGCUCUUUGUCAUGGUUCUUCUUUUCACCCAAGUGUAUUAUAGAGAAAUGUGGCCCAAAAAAAUAAAUAAAUGAAACCUCUAUCCAAGGAUAGCUCAAGGAAGGAGUUUUACUUGUGUACUGAAAUUGUCU